rnacentral:rRNA from 1 species
AGCAGCCGCGGUAAUUCCAGCUCCAAUAGCGUAUAUUAAAGUUGUUGCAGUUAAAAAGCUCGUAGUUGAAUUUCGGGAUCAAUAUGUUGGUCGUGCCUCGGUACGUACUAGCUUAUUGGUUUCUCCUUUCUGAAGAACCAUGAUGUCAUUUAUUUGGUGUCGUGGGGAAUCAGGACUGUUACUUUGAAAAAAUUAGAGUGUUUAAAGCAGGCUCACGCUUGAAUACAUUAGCAUGGAAUAAUGAAAUAGGACGUUUGAUUCUAUUUUGUUGGUUUCUAGGAUCGACGUAAUGAUUAAUAGGGAUAGUUGGGGGCAUUAGUAUUCAAUUGUCAGAGGUGAAAUUCUUGGAUUUAUUGAAGACUAACUACUGCGAAAGCAUUUGCCAAGGAUGUUUUCAUUAAUCAAGAACGAAAGUUAGGGGAUCGAAGACGAUCAGAUACCGUCGUAGUCUUAACCAUAAACUAUGCCGACUAGGGAUCGGAUGAUGUUAAUUUUUAAUGUACUCAUUCGGCGCCUUAAC